CCUUUAAAUCUCUCCCCCACCAUAUAUUAAGAGUAGUCAAAUUCUGUGUCAUAAUCUCACCUUUUUUGCCUUCACUAUCAUGACCCCAGUUCAGGCUUCCACUCCCUCUCACCUGACUAGAUUCUAUGUCCUGAAUUGUUACCUAAUAUAGAAAACAUUCUGAGAAUUGUGUGCAUGACAGGGUACUUAGUGUUGUUUACCAUGAAAGCCCUACUUCUCUGAGUAGCUUAAAAUCUUUGCCAAACUCCUUCAACAAAUCUGUUGUAAGACACCAUGUCUUCAGAUUAAUUAUUUGCACAACAAUGUUAGGAGGUAUACCAGUGGUAUGUGUUUGCUGUCUAUACAUUUUUUUAAACUUAAUUGAGGAAAACCAGAUCUGCUAUUGAAGGAGCUUCUGGCUGACAAUUUCAGGCAUGAGAAACUGCUGCAGCAAAAGUUAAGAAAUGUAACUAACACUUGAAGUCAUAUCAACAAGAAGAAUGCUGUCAUUAUUCUCACUUCACAAAUGAAAACCCAAAGCUUAGUAGCAUGUCCAAGAUUACAUAACUAGUCCACUGCUGAAAAAUCAUUCCUGAAAAGAUGAGGACACCAAGCAGUGCCUCUGGACCACUGAAGUCAAGACCUUUCCCUGGAACUCUGGAUGAAUAUAUCCAACCAAAUACCUACUGGAUAUUGUCACAUGGAUUCUCAAUAUCAACAUGUCUAAAGCUGAAUUCAACUUCUUCCCCUUUCAAAGAACCUUUCCUAUAAUAAAAGUGGUAAACACUUCCAUAGUACUUUCUAUGUAUCAGGCAUGAUUCAAAUCACUUUGCACAUAUUUACUCAUUUGAUCCUCAGAGCAAUCUUAAGACAUACAUAUUAUUAUUAUUGUCAUCCCAUGAAGAAACAAUGGCACAGAGAGGUUAAGUAAUCCUCCCAAGGGCUCACAGUUAGCAGUCACAAAGCUGAGAUUUGAACUCAAGCUGCCUGGCUCCAGAGGCCAUGCUUUUAACCACUGUGCUAGUCUCACUCUGUCACCAGUUAACCAGUCCCCAGGACUGGACAUCUAGGAAUCAGCUGUCACCUUCCCCUCACCCCUUCAUCUAAACAAGCUUGUAUUUCUCUAUCCCAUGCCUCUCUUCUCAGACACAGUGCUCCAUUUUUGCAAACCAUUCUUUGCAAAAUGGACAGUCAUUCUUAAAUGACUCCCCAACACAGGGAGGACUGUGUCUGACCCUGCCCUGCUCCUUAGCUUUAUUCCUUCCCUCCUCCAGCUGAAGCAAAAGACUCUCUAGCAACACUCAGUGACUUCCCAUUCCUUUAAACACAACUUCUCCUGUGGAUUUUCUCAUGCUGUCCUCCAACCUGAAGGCUCUUCCUUUUUCCAGCACACUUCUCCUAAUUUCUAUUCAUUCCAAAGCUUCAGUUCAGUGUCCUUUUGCCAGCAAGUCUUCCCUAAUGUCUCUACUACCACCAUUUGCCCUCUGAGUGGGCUGGUUAGUACCACCCUUCUCAUGUGCUUUAUGGUACCUCUUUCUCCCUGUUUUUCUUUUUCCUUUUUUUUUUUUUUUUUUUGAGGUAGGGUCUUGUUCUUUUGCCCAGGCUGGAGUGCAAUGGUGCAAUCUCAGCUCAUGGCAGCCUCUAACUCGUUGAUUCCAUCAUUGACUUCUAUUUCACUAUUCAUUCUGUUCAUUUGUCUGCCCCCUCUCACCAGAACCAUUUGCUCUGUGAGGGCUGUGACUGCACUUGAUGAAUCUGAAAUUCUGUAGCACCUAGUUUGGUAACUGGAGAAAAUGGAUAAAUUUUUCAUAAGUGAAUAGACAUAAGGAGUGACUGAAAAUAGAGAGCCAUAUGGUGUUUAUGCACCAAAUGUGUGUAUGUAAAGGAAAAGAAGGGUCAAAACAUGCAUGGGUAAUUUCACGCGUAUUUAUGAAAUUUCUGAUUUGCACCCAGCCCUGGUCAUUUGCAGUGAUGGACAAUGUGACCAACAAUUGAAAUGAUAAUAGGAUCAUUCUAAAUUAAAGCCAAAAUAUAACUUCAUAAGUGGGUUCGCUGAGCCUGAGUCACUCUCCAGCUGUGUCAGUCAUCCCCUUGGGCAGUGUCAUGAAUUCUCUUGAGUCUCUAAAGUUGCAGGUCAUACUAGAAAAGAAGGGCCUCUGCUGUUCACACCUGGAGGGCUUCCCCCUCAAGGCAGGUAAGAAGCCCCAAGGCCUGGCUGCCUUGACACUGUUCUUACAGAGCCUCUGCUUGGCAGGUGUGCUGUACUGGACUUCUCUUCAGGUGAAGCUCAGAAGCAAAAGUGGCUUAGAGACAAAAAUAAAUAAAGGUCAAAGUCAACUUAGACUUUUCACCAUGAUAAUGAUGUAUCCCAGAUUACAGGAUAGAAGCUUAGUUCACAUGGAGUGCUGCUUUGAGGUAUAACCAAAAGCAUAACACUCCUCGGAGUUGUUUGCACAUAAUAAUUAGUUGUCCAUUUAAACAUUUUUUGAGAAUCCACAGAUGCCAAUCAGUGCGCCACAUUCUGGAGGUGAAAAGAAAAAUAAGAAAUACAUUUUGCCUUCAAGAAGCUUAGAGUUUGUGAGUGAGUCAGACAGGAAAAGGCAUCAAAAAAAUACCUCAUAGGCUAAAAAAAGUUUUUUUCAAAGUUAUAAUGCAUGGUUUAAAAGAGAGGAAAGGAAAAAGGAGACAAAGCUGGUUACAGGUCUGAGGGAGUCUAAGGAGAGAAAAAUAGAAGGAGAGUAAAUUAUAGUAAAAUUUUUCUUUUUGUAUAUAUAUAUAAUUGCACUUUAGGUUCUAGGGUACAUGUGCAGAACAUGCAGCAUUGUUGCAUAGGUACAUGCACGGCAAUGAGGUUUGCUGCCUCCAUCCCCCCAUCACCUAUAUCUGGCAUUUCUCCCCAUGUUAUCCCUCACCAACUUCCCUACCCCCCACUGUCCCUCCCUUAUUCCCCCACAACAGACCCUAGUGUUUGAUGCUCCCCUCCUUGUGUCCAUGUGUUCUCAUUGUUCAACACCCACCGAUGAGUGAGAACAUGCAGUGUUUGAUUUUCUGUUCUUAUGUCAGUUUGCUGAGAAUGAUGGUUUCCAGAUUCAUCCAUGUCCCUACAAAGGACACGAACUCAUCAUUUUAAUGGCUGCAUAGUAUUCCAUGGUGUAUAUGUGCCACAUUGUCCUUGUCCAGUCUAUCAUCGAUGGGCAUUUGGAUUGGUUCCAGGUAUUGGCUAUUAAAGAGUGCUGCAAUGAACAUACAUUGUGUGCAUGUGUCUGUAUAAUAGAAUGAUUUAUAAUCCUUUGGAUAUAUACCCAGUAAUGGGAUUGCUGGGUCAAAUGGAAUUUCUAGUUCUAGAUCCUUGAGGAAUCGCCACACUGUCUUCUACAAUGGUUGAACUAAUUUACACUCCUGCCAACAGUGUAAAAGUGUUCCUAUUUCUCCACAUCCAGGAGAGGAAAAUUUUUAAAGAAAAUGCAUAGUUACUGUAAAUCACAUGGGGGAUUGGUCACAGGGAAGUAAAGGGUUUUGUAACAGCAUGUGAGGAGGGUCCCUAGUAGAGUAGGGGAGUGGGAAGGAGAAGAAACAAGGAUCUUCCCACCUCCCUAUGUGUCUUGCCCUCUUAAAACAAGACUGAGAAUGACUAGGCUGAGGACUUGCAAUUUAUCUGCCCACAAUUGGUAAGCCAUUGAACCAGCAUAGUUGUAAAGCUGGACUGUGAAUGAUGGGGUAUGAAUACUCCCUCAUAUUAGAAAGUUCCAGGACAGCACUACAGAUUUCCAUCAUUUGUGAAUACCAUUGAAAAUUGCAGGGGGUUAAGUCACUUUGUAAGUAACCCCAGAACAUCUACCUGCUAGGUGUUAACAGCCAAACAUGUAGAUUGGGCCCUCUUCUGCUUAGUAAAGACUGAGAAACUGAGAAAGAAACAGCCUCAGACAGAUCUUUCACCCCACAAAACAGAGUAGGUUAGGCCCCAUUUCCAGUCCCCAAAGAAUAACAGAUAUCCCCUACAAAAAAGCCAGCAGCUCAAUGUUCAACCCAGAGAGAUUAAGAGAGUGGGAAGACUAAAAGUCUGAGGCAGGACUUCAAAGUCUAGGCUUAAGGUGAAGAUAGAAACAGGCAUGGCCAGGGCAUUUCCUGGGUAAAUCACUAGAAAGACUGAGGAUAUUGUGCACCUACCAUGUGCCAGGAAAAAGUGAGUCUUUAGUUUGCCCAAAGCCCACCCCAAAAUAUAUAGUAUAGGUAAAAAUAGUAGAAUUGCCAACACAACUUAAAGCCCUUUAGCUACCAUCCGCCUUCCAAGGAAAGUGUGAACCCAAAGUCCCUUCUAUAUAUAGGGUAACCAUGUGUCCUUCAUCAUAGGUCAGCCUUGGUUUACAACUGUCUCCUGGAAAAAUUAUUGAUAUCAUCCUCUUUUAUUCUCAAAAGAAUUCUGAUAUGGGCUAUAAAUUAUCAUAAUAUAUGAAAAUUCUGGAUCCCCAAUUGUGGGAGGAACUGGGCUCAGCACAUUUC